rnacentral:tRNA from 2 species
GCCGACGUAGCUCAGUGGUAGAGCACUUCCUUGGUAAGGAAGAGGUCACGAGUUCAAAUCUCGUCGUCGGCU